rnacentral:rRNA from 1 species
UACGAAGGGGCUAGCGUUGCUCGGAAUCACUGGGCGUAAAGCGCACGUAGGCGGUUUCUUAAGUCAGGGGUGAAAUCCUGGAGCUCAACUCCAGAACUGCCUUUGAUACUGGGAGACUUGGAGUCGGGAGAGGUGGAGUGGAACUGCGAGUGUAGAGGUGAAAUUCGUAGAUAUUCGCAAGAACACCAGUGGAGAAGGCGGACUCACUGGCCCGGUACUGACGCUGAGGUGCGAAAGCGUGGGGAGCAACAGGGAUUAAGAA